rnacentral:rRNA from 1 species
GGAAUUUUGGACAAUGGGCGCAAGCCUGAUCCAGCAAUGCCGCGUGAGUGAAGAAGGCCUUCGGGUUGUAAAGCUCUUUUGUCAGGGAAGAAACGGUGUUUUCUAAUACAGAACGCUAAUGACGGUACCUGAAGAAUAAGCACCGGCUAACUACGUGCCAGCAGCCGCGGUAAUACGUAGGGUGCAAGCGUUAAUCGGAAUUACUGGGCGUAAAGCGUGCGCAGGCGGUUUUGUAAGACUGUCGUGAAAUCCCCGGGCUCAACCUGGGAAUGGCGAUGGUGACUGCAAGGCUAGAGUUUGGCAGAGGGGGGUAGAAUUCCACGUGUAGCAGUGAAAUGCGUAGAUAUGUGGAGGAACACCGAUGGCGAAGGCAGCCCCCUGGGUCAAAACUGACGCUCAUGCACGAAAGCGUGGGGAGCAAACAGGAUUAGAUACCCUGG